GAAGAGAUUCCAUGAACAAAGCAGAGAAACUUGUUAAAGCUUGGAACACACCAGGCAACCCUGUCUGCAGGUUAUUAAGAGUCAUGGCUCUUGUCACUUCUAUUGCCUUUGAAUGUUUCACCAUCUCCUCCUCUACUCUCCUUUGGCAAACCGCAAGCUCUGUUUUUUUAUCGCUUAGCGGAUCUCGAGCGUCUAACAUGUGUUGGCUAUCAGGUCCUGAAUCAGCUUGUUUCGUCGAUAUCACAUGCACAACGUUGAUGAAGCUUUUGAUUGCUUCGGAUGCGACUGUAUCGGGAACACGGUCUAGAGCAAGUUUCCACUCAUCGCAGAACGCGUAAGCAUCGGUUGGCUCUUUGGCAGCGGCAUCUUCGUGGCAGACCGGAACAAGUGUUAGUUUGAACCAGGCGUGAACCGAGUGUAUGAAGUCACGCUGGAAUUUGAUCAGAUGACUAAAACUGGAGUGCCAAGAAGAGACAGCUGAUUCUAAGUCACGAGUCGCUUGUCGAUGUAGCUCUGAGGUUGAUUCGCCUUUGCCUGAUCUAUUGAUCAGCCCUCGAACUUGCUGCACGAUGCUGUUCUGAGUCUCGUGAAAUUGAUGCAUAGCUUUCCACAUGUACAUAAAACUGCAUCAGAAAUCACAGAUAAUACCAGUGACCAGAAGAUAUUCAUCUCUGCCGCAACUAGAUAUUAUAAGGUAAGCCUAACCCAUGAUGUUAUUGCCUCUAACUUUGAGAUAUACUUUACCAAUUUCAGCAGUUUACUAGUUAGUUUGACAGGAUAGGCUGUAAAACUUAAGAAGCUAAGAACUAAGCUGUAACAAUAGAUAAGAGAGGUAAGGCACCCUUUUUUUUUGUCUCACUUUAGGCAUAUCAUUAUCAAGGACCACAGAAUUCUGAAACGCAUGGCCUCAAAAUUGUCUAAUAAUUGUUCACCUACUUAUUGAUGAGCCCAUGAGAUUCUUUUAAUAGAUAUGAAAAAGUAGGUAGAAGUGAAUAGAAUACUAACUAAAGAGACCAAAUGUGUAAAUAAUGAUUGCUUGCCAAAAAUGUCAAUUUCCAAAAAAAACUGUUGGAUCACAAGGUAAUAUCAAACAGCUGGUGACUCACUUAUUAAAGACAAGAGGAAACUUACCCAU